rnacentral:rRNA from 1 species
UACGUAGGGUGCAAGCGUUGUCCGGAAUUAUUGGGCGUAAAGAGCUCGUAGGCGGUUUGUCGCGUCGAAUGUGAAAACCUGGGGCUUAACCCCGGGCCUGCAGUGGGUACGGGCAGACUAGAGUGUGGUAGGGGAGACUGGAAUUCCUGGUGUAGCGGUGAAAUGCGCAGAUAUCAGGAGGAACACCGGUGGCGAAGGCGGGUCUCUGGGCCAUAACUGACGCUGAGGAGCGAAAGCGUGGGGAGCGAACAGG